rnacentral:pre_miRNA from 1 species
AGUUAGGAUUUUCAGAAGGUUGCGGGAUGGGUGGGUGGGUGAGAUGACCAAUUAAUGGAUCUCAAUUGAUUGUGUUCAUCUUACCUACACCGCCCAUGCCUUGGGUUUCCGAUUAUUCCUCCCUC